CCUACGGGAGGCAGCAGUGAGGAAUAUUGGUCAAUGGCCGAGAGGCUGAACCAGCCAAGUCGCGUGAGGGAAGACGGCCCUACGGGUUGUAAACCUCUUUUGUCGGGGAGCAAAGCGAGUCACGUGUGACUCAUUGAGAGUACCCGAAGAAAAAGCAUAGGCAAACCUCGUGCCAGCAGCCCCGGUAAUACGGGGGAUGCGAGCUGUACCCGGAUUGAUUGGGUUUAAAGGGUGCGCAGGCGGAGGUGCAAGUCAGCGGUAAAAUUGCGGGGCUCAACCCCGUACUGCCGUUGAAACUGAAUCCCUUGAGUGCGCGAGAAGUAUGCGGAAUGCGUGGUGUAGCGGUGAAAUGCAUAGAUAUGACGCAGAACUCCGAUUGCGAAGGCAGCAUACCGGCGCGCAACUGACGCUCAUGCACGAAAGCGUGGGUAUCGAACAGGAUUAGAUACCCCAGUAGUC
rnacentral:rRNA from 1 species